UACAGAGGAUGCAAGCGUUAUCCGGAAUGAUUGGGCGUAAAGCGUCUGUAGGUGGCUUUUUAAGUCCGCCGUCAAAUCCCAGGGCUCAACUCUGGACAGGCGGUGGAAACUACCAAGCUGGAGUACGGUAGGGGCAGAGGGAAUUUCCGGUGGAGCGGUGAAAUGCGUAGGGAUCGGAAGGAACGCCCGUGGCGAAAGCGAGAUCCUGGACGUCUACUGACGCUGAGACGCGAAAGCUAGGGGAGCGAACGGG
rnacentral:rRNA from 1 species